AACGAACGCUGGCGGCAUGCCUAACACAUGCAAGUCGAACGAAGCCUUCGGGCUUAGUGGCGCACGGGUGCGUAACGCGUGGGAAUCUGCCCUUGGGUUCGGAAUAACAGUUAGAAAUGACUGCUAAUACCGGAUGAUGACGAAAGUCCAAAGAUUUAUCGCCCAAGGAUGAGCCCGCGUAGGAUUAGGUAGUUGGUGGGGUAAAGGCUCACCAAGCCGACGAUCCUUAGCUGGUCUGAGAGGAUGAUCAGCCACACUGGGACUGAGACACGGCCCAGACUCCUACGGGAGGCAGCAGUGGGGAAUAUUGGACAAUGGGCGAAAGCCUGAUCCAGCAAUGCCGCGUGAGUGAUGAAGGCCUUAGGGUCGUAAAGCUCUUUUACCAGGGAUGAUAAUGACAGUACCUGGAGAAUAAGCUCCGGCUAACUCCGUGCCAGCAGCCGCGGUAA
rnacentral:rRNA from 1 species